UUUUUUUUCUUACUAUUUUAUUUUACUGUUUAUUUAUAAAAAGUAUUUUUGUAUUUAGUAUUUAGAUUGAAAUAUUAAUAUUAGUAAUAGUUUAUUUUUAUUGUGAGAGAAUGUUGAAAUAUUAUGAAAAGUUUAAAAUAUAAAAGUAUAUUUUAUUUAUAUUACCUUUUGUAUCAGGGUUAAUCUAAUAUAUCAUAUUUAUGUUUGUUUCUCGAUUUUAUAAGAGCUAAUAUUUUAUUUUAUUCAGUGUAUCAUAGUUGUUAAUAAUAUUAAUUAGAGGAGAAAUUUCAUUCGCUUAUAAUGGUAUCUAGUUUUUUAAGAACUAAAUUAAAUUUAGUUUUAAUUUUCUUACUUUUUUAUUUUUAAUAAAAUUAUUAAUUAAAAGUUAAAUGUAAAGGGAUAAGCUUUUACUUUUGCUAAAAAUAUUAUUUACAUUAAAGAUUUAGUAGGAAUAGAAUUUUCCUUCUUUAUUAAAUUAUUUAAUAGUGUAUUUUUUAUGAAUUAAAUUUAUUUUUGUUUUAGUUUUAUAUUAAAAUAUUUUAGUUAAUUUUAUUUUAAUAGUAAUUAUGAUUAAAUUAGUAUAUAAUCUUGUUUUUAUGAAAAAAUUAUAAAAAUAAUUUGGAGGAACUAGGCAAAUAUUAUGCUCGCCUGUUUAACAAAAACAUGUCUUUUUGUUUAUAUAAAAAGUCGGGCCUGCCCAGUGAGAGUAUUAAACGGCCGCGGUAUAUUGACUGUGCAAAGGUAGCAUAAUCAUUAGUUUUUUAAUAGGAGGCUGGAAUGAAAGGUUUAACGAAGUAUAAACUAUCUUAUUUUUAAGAUUAUAAUUUAAUUUUUAAGUUAAAAAGCUUAAAUUUUAUUGGUGGACGAGAAGACCCUAUAGAGCUUUACAUUAUUUAUUUUAAUAAUAUUUUGUUAAUAUUUAAUUAUUAUUUUAAUUGUUGUUUUGUUGGGGUGAUAAAUGAUAUUUGAUUAACUUUAAUUAUUUUGUUUACAUGAUUAUAUGCUUAUUUGAUCCAUUAAUAUUGAUUAUUAGAUUAAGUUACCUUAGGGAUAACAGCGUAAUCUUCUUUAAGAGAUCGAAUCUACAAGAAGGCUUGCGACCUCGAUGUUGGAUUAAGAUUAUAAUUAGGUGCAGUAGCUUAAUUAAUAGGUCUGUUCGACCUUUAAAUUCUUACAUGAUCUGAGUUCAGACCGGUUUAAGCCAGGUCGGUUUCUAUCCCCAAUUUUAUUAUAGUUUUUAGUACGAAAGGACCAUUAUUAUGAAAUUUUUUUUCUUUUUGGUUAAAGUUA
rnacentral:rRNA from 1 species